CGAGGUUGGACUAAUAUUUUUAACUACUUAAUACAUUGGCUCGAAUUUAGGUUGUGCCUUUUAUAUUUUUAGAAGAUUAACAACUAAGGAAGAUUUUUUUUAAACUUCUCUUAUUGACUUCUCGAACCCCGGCCUGGGCUGUUUGGUCUGUUUCGCAAGCGUUCCCAAAGUCUCGCGAUGUUGCGUCUCUGAGUUUAGAAACUAUGGUAACGCCAUUUUCGCCCAACAGUUCAGUAGCCAACAAAUGUGUUUCUAGUGAUAUAAGACCUAGUUAAAUGAAACGUGGUCUAUUUAACAUGAAAGAUCAUGUAAUACUUUUUUGGUUCAGAUAUCACUUCCCGUACAUGUAGCUAGCUAGUCACCGAUGAUGCAGCGAUAAGCAAUAAAGCCGUGACAGCUACCUGUGGUCAGUCAGGAAGAACAGCGCAAAGAGACAAGACAGUGAGCAGUGUUUCUGUUCUCGCAAAGUCGAAAUAACAAAAAAAAUAACUUGUUGUUUCAGAAUAUAUACAACAUUUCAGUGUUUUCAAUCGGAAACUGCAUUGAAGUCGGACUAACUCCUCACUGUACUGUGUUGGGCAACGGAUGUCCAACAGAACGGAUGCGUGAGAACAUGUCUGCCAUGGUGUGUGUGAAGGAGGAGGAGGAGGACCCUGGGGAGAAGCUGUCCCAGGAUGAGAUCAUCUCCAGGACCAAGCAGGUGAUCCAGGGCUUGGAGGCUCUAAAGCAGGAACACAACUCCAUCCUGGAGGGCCUUCUGGGCACACUGCACUGCUUGAAGCAGGAUGACCAGGGAGUCCUGGUGGAGGAGAAGUCCCUCAUGAUCCGCAAGUCCCUGGAGAUGCUGGAGCUGGGCCUGAGCGAGGCACAGGUGAUGAUGGCGCUGUCGGGCCACCUGAGCUCGGUGGAGUCGGAGAAGCAGAAGCUGCGGGCACAGGUGCGCCGGCUGUGCCAGGAGAACCAGUGGCUGAGGGACGAGCUGGCAGGCACCCAGCAGAAGCUGCAGAAGAGCGAGCAGAGUGUGGCUCAGCUGGAGGAGGAGAAGAAACACCUGGAGUUCAUGAACCAGCUGAAGAAGUACGAUAAGGACCUGCUGCCAUCGGAGGAGAAGGACUCUGACUCCAGUAAAGAGAAUCUGGAUGAUCUGUUCCCAGAUGACCAGGAUGACCAACCUCCAGGCAUCCAGCAGCCCCACGGUAGUGCAGCAGCAGCCGCCGCCCAGCAGGGUGGCUAUGAGAUCCCGGCUCGCCUCAGGACCCUUCACAACUUGGUGAUCCAGUACGCCUCCCAGGGCCGUUACGAGGUGGCCGUGCCCCUCUGCAAACAGGCCCUGGAGGACCUGGAAAAAACCUCCGGACACGACCACCCUGACGUGGCCACCAUGCUCAACAUCCUGGCCCUGGUCUACAGGGACCAGAACAAAUACAAAGAGGCAGCCAACCUGCUGAAUGACGCUCUGGCGAUCAGGGAGAAAACUCUGGGCAGGGACCAUCCAGCGGUGGCUGCUACACUCAACAACUUGGCCGUGCUCUACGGGAAACGGGGGAAGUACAAAGAGGCGGAGCCACUUUGCAAGCGGGCUCUGGAGAUCCGGGAGAAGGUUCUGGGUAAGGACCACCCAGAUGUGGCCAAGCAGCUGAACAACCUGGCCCUGCUGUGUCAGAACCAGGGCAAGUACGAGGAGGUGGAGUACUACUACCAGCGGGCCCUGGAGAUCUACCAGACCAAACUGGGCCCUGACGACCCCAACGUGGCCAAGACCAAGAACAACCUGGCGUCCUGUUACCUGAAGCAGGGGAAGUUCAAGCAGGCUGAAACUCUGUACAAAGAGAUCCUUACCCGCGCACAUGAGAGGGAGUUUGGCUCUGUAGACGAUGAGAACAAACCCAUUUGGAUGCAUGCGGAGGAGAGAGAAGAACAGAGCAAGGGAAAGCAGCAGGACGGCUCCCCGUUCGGAGAGUAUGGAGGCUGGUACAAAGCCUGUAAAGUAGACAGCCCCACAGUGACCACCACCCUGAAGAACCUGGGCGCCCUCUACAAGCGGCAGGGUAAAUUUGAGGCGGCAGAGACCCUAGAAGAGGCCGCUAUGCGUUCCAGAAAACAGGGUCUGGACACGGUGCACAAACAGCGUGUGGCGGAUGUUCUGAGUGAGCCAGAGACGCGGGAGAAGCAGUGGAGCCGUGAGAGCCUGACCUCCGACGCCACGGUCAAGUAUGAGAGUGGCCCGGACGGUGGCGAGGAAGUGAGUAUGAGCGUGGAGUGGAACGGGUGCUGAAACCUCUGUCAGACACACAUAGUACAUACUGGCAUAAUCCCAGAUGCCUUGUUGUGGUUCUAAGUACUUGUCUUCUGCAUGACGGACACCAGCUCGCCUGCCACCCCUCCAGCUUUGCAGUUGUGUCUUCUCUUCAGACUCUUCUCUCCUCCUCUGGGCUGUCUGUCUGGUGACUCUACUGGGCCAAGCUGUCCCUAGUUCUAUCCUCCUAUCCACUGUCAAUGGGACCAGGGGGGCUGGGCUCUGUCUCAGAACCAAACCAAGCCACUCCUGCCUCCUGCCAUUACCUUAUCUUGCUCUUUGCUGUACUUAAAUACUCUGUCUCCUCACUCUAUCUGUUCUAUCUCUCAGUAGGGUGUGUGUGGUGUUGCGUUUCCAGCAUUUACUAGAAGUAAUGAUGCAUACCGGUCUGCUUUUGCUCGUAGUGAUUUAACUAACAUACUGUGAAUUCUAUGAGUUGGUGGCAUGAUCAUCAUCCUGUAUGCUCCCUCAGAGUACCGUGGUGGCUCUAGGCUGCUGUCGAGUUUCUUUACUAGUGUUUGAUCCUAUGCUCCAUGUGGUCCUAUUGAUGUCAAACUUAACGGUGUUGUCAUGUCCUGAUCAGGAGGGAGUGUCAAAAGACAAUGCAGCUCCUGUGUAUACAGAGCCAGAUGGUGGGAGGGGAUGGGGAGUGUAGAGGGGGGUAUAGGAAAGAGGAGUGGGACAUGCCUCACUCUGCAGAGUGGAAUCUGGACACUUCUCUUCAUGGCUCCUACUAAUCUACUCUGUCCUGUCUGUGCUUCUUAUAGUAUGUAUCUCUUAACUUCUAAUAAAACGUAAGUCUUUGCUCACUCACAUCUUUGCCUGUAGCCUCUUUGUGUGCUCUCUCUCUUUCUGUGUGUGAGUGUAAAGCGGGGUUUGUGUGUGGUUGGUUGUGUGUGUGUCUAAAUCUUGAUGGUAGCGGUCAACUCCGGGACCAUGGUAAAGUGACCCGUCCUUCUUUUCCUUCUCUUCUCCAUGGUGGUGUCCUAGUGGACAGGUCAGAGGUUAGGGGUCAGAGCUGUGUGAAUAACCACAGAGCAUGAAAACCUGUUACUCCAAGAUCUGAUCAAACAUAGCAGGAUGGAUAUUGCUACCUUGAAUGAAUAAAGCUUGAAAACCUUUAGAAGGAAUUUACAUUGCUCUGCUCUGUUGACCCAAGAGAACUAUUGUGAGCAUAACUUUAUACAAUGUUUUUGGAGGGCUUCUCUAAUUUCUUUAUAGCAUCAUUUCUGAAUAGCACACGGAUGAGGCCGACAUGUUUUGUCUCAACAGAGUCUAAUCGGAUGCACAUGCAAAAACAAGCACAUGCACAGUCCAUCACAUAUGCAGACAGAAGAAGUUACUGAGCCAAUUCUCUGUAUUUUGAUUGUGUGUGUGCGUGCGUGCGUGCAUAUCUGUACGGAGUGUGGGGGUGUGUGCAACUCUGCAUGCAUGUUUGUCUCUACCUGUGUGUAUGCAAGAUGUGAGUGUGAAAGUCACCCUCUGACCUCUCUCAUCAGGACGGUUCCGGCUCUCUGAAGCGGAGCGGCUCCUUCAGUAAACUCCGUGCCUCUAUUCGCCGCAGCAGUGAGAAACUGGUCCGCAAGCUGAAGGGCGGCAGCUCACGGGAGUGGGACCCCAAAAACUCUGGGAGCGAAAUAAUCAUCUGAGAAAGAGUCGUGACCUGAGUGCCAGCCACACUGACCUGGCGCAUUGAAGGUCGGAACUCAGAAUGUUCCCGUGGAGAAGUGACAGAGGUCAUGGGGUCUGUCUCCUAAACAACCCCCUCCCUGUUGUAGGUAUACAGCUGGCUGCAGUACGUAGGUUUCACAAUCCCAUUGCACUUUGAUCUCAUCACUGGUUUGCUUAGGUGUUUUAAUUUAAAUGUUUUCUCUUUUCUAUCAAUAUAUAUAUUGAACAACAUGAGAUUAGUUAUAAUGAACGACAAAUGUAUAACGCUAAGUCAAGUGUAAAUGCGUGUGUGUGGAUGUAAGUAUGCACCUAUAUUUUAUAGUUAAGUGCUCAAAUGAGAGAAUGUUCAUUUUUGUAUUUUCUGUGUGUGUGGUUGCUUUGUCCUACCUUACCUCCACAGAUCUAAAUCGUAACUUAAAUCAUUUGGGUAUCACUUGAAUGGAAUAUGUGAGCAGUUCAGGAGGUCCCAAUAGGGUACUUAACUCUGCUGUCUUACCCCCUUUCAUCCAAAUUGAUGUCCUGUGUGUUCUUAUUGAAGUGCUAGAUGUGUUUGUUGUAUUAAGUUUUAUGUUUUACAUUUGGGUUGUGUAAAUUAUGGUUUAUUUUAUUUCCUAUGCUGAUCUGGGGAAUCUUAUUUCUUUGUAUCAGAGGUCUUGAAAUGGAUAGCUCUGCUUCUAGCAAUUUCAAGAGACUGCUCAAAAUGUAUGUGAAGUUAUGAGGCAGGAUCGUUCUGUUGGCACAUUAAGUAUAUCUGGUGGAUUUCUCAGGAUUGUCACAGAACAGAAGAUGGCUAGCGAAGCUAGUUUUGAUAUACACUGACUGCACUAUAUAUUUAACACAGGAACCUGUUACAAUCAAAUGCAUUUUCCAGUAAUAGCAUAAAAAUAUUGUUACAAUCUGGAGUAAAGACAUUGUUUACUAAUUUGUACCAAUCUGUUUCUGUAUGUUGAAUGAUGAAUCAAGAGUAAGACUAUGUAUAAAGAGUGAAAUUAAGCUGAAGUACUUGGACUUCAUUAGAUUAAAUAUCCAACCAAAAAAAUCAACAAAUGUUUUUUGUCACUCCCACAUUUACAUUGUUUUACUUUGUUCUCAAAACUUUCAAGUUAACGUUUGCUCGUUUCCGAAGUGUGCCUUUUUUAGGUCCACAGACAUGAUCCUACUGACAUGGGUUUGGAUUGCUUGUUGGGUGGACUGUUAAUGUGGUCUGUUGAUGGGGAUGUGUGAUAGCGUUAUCUUAUGUAAGGAAGGUGACUGUUACAUUUGACUUCAGUCAUCAUAGGCCCAGGAACUUUCCCAGUCCCUCACCAGGAUGACUUAAAGAGGGGUGAAAUAUUACUAAUUAGGGUUAAAUUGACCAGACCGGUUUCACUAUCCAAGGAACAGGACCUAUUUUUAUGAUAAACAAGCAAGUUGUCAUGAGCAGAGGGAACCAUGGAGUAGUGAGUAAUUUGCAAGUAAUCCUAUGAGCAGUGGUACAAUGGCUGCGUUUACACAGGCAGCCCAAUUCGGACCUUUUUUCCACAAAUUGGUAGUUUGGCCAAUCACAUCAGAUCUUUUUCAGGGCUGAUCCGAUUGGUCAAAAGACCAGUAAAUAAAACAAAUAUCAGAAUUAGGCUGGCAGUGUAAACGCAGCUUCUGAGUCACUUGAAGUGGUGCACAGAAUCAUGGAGAAGGACAACACGCCCUGAACUAGUGAAACACUGCUGGGAAAUGUUAAUGAUGACAUCACCCUAUUAUUUGUGACACAGUCAAUGCACCAGACUGUCCAAGUUAACUUUUUUUUGUUUGGGGUUGGGCUUCAGUGUGUGUAUGUUUGGAGAUGUCCUGGGCUAGACUGGCAAUAGGAACACAAUUGGUAACUAUCCAAACUUCCAGCCCCUUUCCCUUAGGAUGACUGCUGUGCUGGCUGGAUCCCUUUAGCCUGAACUGUGGUGAAGUGUUUGUCCUGAAAAAGAUGUUAUAUGGUAUAAAUUGUUUGAAUAAAACUAUACAAAUGUU